rnacentral:lncRNA from 1 species
UCACUGAAAAACCAAGCUGGGCAGGAUCAUUACCAUUCCUUGAAGAAUUGCAUCCUUCCUGCAUCCGAUUUACCUGCAAAGAGGGGAAGAAACACAUAGCUGUGCUGCAUUGUCAGGGUUUCUAUAUGAAAUGCCAUCCCUUUUUUUGUGCUGGCUUCAUCGGAACAGUCAUUAAGCUGUGCAGAAUUUGGCCAUUUCCUAUGCAGAACAACAGGCAAAACAUAAGGGGAAGGGAGGCUGAGACCCAAGUCUCAUUUUUAUGAACUCUCUCUGAUGCAGGGGGAAGUCGCAACAGAUAGCCUCUGCAUGACAAGCCUCAGAAAAUUGCCAGGCAUGAGAAAUGUUGUGAGUAAUCGUCUCAUCCCUAGCAUUUUUACUUGAUUUAUUUCUUGAGCCUCUAUUGAUAUUAGUAGUGCCGUUGACAUCGCUUUUAACAUUGUUUGAAGUAUUGCUAAAGAAUGUGAUUUAUACAUUUCUAAGAGGAAAAGAGGAGCAGUAGUGCCGAACUAUAGCAGAUAAGGAUUGUUCAUUCUGUGCUCUACAGCAUGUUUCAGAAUUCGCUGCUGUGUCUUUUACUGGCUCCCCAUGUAGCGAGCAAGGAGUCCUUUGGCGUCAGUCUUUGGGCUGGCUGGAAAAGAACAUCUCCAAAGAUGAUGCACCAGCAAUGUUCAUGCAGCAAUGAUAGCCUUCUCUUCUGAUGAGUCUAACAUCCUGAACCUGACAAGAGUGAAAUCCAUGAGCACUUCAUGAAAAAUGUUGAAAACAAGACUUUGCAUUGCCAAACUUCUCCUUCUCAUGACAGUCUCUGUAAACUUUGUCAUGUCCUGAAACAAUGAGAAACCUGACUGAGAAGAAACAUAAAGCAGAGGUGAUGCAAACACAGGAUAAUCUAAGGAGUCAGCAGGCUCCAUGGUGACUCCAUAAUGACUCUCAUUUUCAGGGAAUAUUAUAGAGCAUCCCUUGGAAACCUUAACAUAGUAGCAAGAGACUUUUUCUGGAGAAUCUUGACCUCAGACGAAGAGAAAGAAGAAGAGUCAUAGGGAAUCUCAGCGAGUCAGAAUUUCUGCUUGAGUGCAACAGUACUGGUAACUCCUUCUUCACUGAGAUGUUAAAGACAAAUCAGGCUCCUGGCAAGUAUUCAUUGUUGGAGUUGCCAAUGUUGGUGUGAGGAAAUUGU